rnacentral:piRNA from 1 species
GUAGCUCAGUGGUAGAGCGCGCGC